GGUACCCCCAGGGGUAGGGGUGAAAUUCCUGAUAAUCCCUGGGGGACCACCAGUGGUGAAGGCGCCCGGCUGGAACGCGCCUGACGCUGAGGGGCGAAAGCCGGGGGAGCGAACCGGAUUAGAUAUCCCGGGUAGUCCCGGCUGUAAACUAUGCGGGGCCAGGUGUCGGGCGGGCGUUAGAGCCCGCCCGGUGCCGCAGGGAAGCCGUUAAGCCCGCCGCCCGGGGAGUACGGCCGCAAGGCUGAAACUUAAAGGAAUUGGCGGGGGGGCACACAAGGGGUGGAGCCUGCGGCUCAAUUGGAGUCAACGCCGGGAACCUCUACCGGGGGCGACAGCAGGAUGACGGCCAGGCUAACGACCUUGCCCGACGCGCUGAGGGGAGGUGCAUGGCCGUCGCCAGCUCGUGCUGUGAAGUGUCCUGUUAAGUCAGGCAACGAGCGAGACCCCCGCCCCUAGCUGCGACCCUGCGGGCGACCGCGGGGGCACACUAGGGGGACUGCCGCCGCUAAGGCGGAGGAAGGAGGGGGCCACGGCAGGUCAGCAUGCCCCUAAACCCCCGGGCUGCACGCGGGCUACAAUGGCGGGGACAGCGGGAUCCGACCCCGAAAGGGGGAGGCAAUCCCUGAAACCCCGCCGUAGUUGGGAUCGGGGGCUGAAACUCGCCCCCGUGAACCUGGAAUCCCUAGUAACCGCGCGUCACCAUCGCGCGGUGAAUACGUCCCUGCCCCUU
rnacentral:rRNA from 1 species